rnacentral:rRNA from 1 species
UACGUAGGGUGCGAGCGUUGUCCGGAAUUAUUGGGCGUAAAGAGCUCGUAGGCGGUUUGUUGCGUCUAUCGUGAAAACCUGCAGCUUAACUGUGGGCUUGCGGUGGAUACGGGCAGACUUGAGUUCGGUAGGGGAGACUGGAAUUCCGUGGUGUAGCGGUGAAAUGCGCAGAUAUCGAGGAGGAACGAGCCGGUGGCGAAGGCGGGUCGUCUGGGCCGAAUA